GUUAAAAAUGCUUGUUGAAUAUAUAUAAUUCACUGGCCUUCAUAGCAUAUGAUAUUACACGAGGUGUUAUUAUAUAUCAUAAACAACAUGGAUAUUUAUUUGAAAUAUUGCGAUCGAACAAGAAAUCCUAAGUUAUAUAAAACCUAAUGUAAAAAGUAAUAGAUAAGUAUAGAAAUGCUUAAAAAUUAAAAAAGAAAAUAAUUAAGAAAAUUAAGAACAUACAUUAAACAAAGAUAAUAAUAGAUUAAAAAAAAAAUAAAAAAGAAAAUACACUGUAAUAUAUAUAAUAUAUAAUAAAAUUGAAUAUAAUAUAUGCGUAAGUGUUCAAUUAUUUUAAAACACGCUCGCGACUCGUCGCAUUAACGAUGGACUUACAAUGUCGGGCAUUGAAUUAAAAAGAAUUAUCCAGUAAUUAGUGUAAUUCCAGUAAUUAGUGUAAACCAUUUAAUUACAAUUAAUAUAAUUUCAAUAACGAUUGAAAAGUUAUAUAGAACAGAAACAACACCUCGUGCGAUAGUGAAGAAAGAGGGAAAUAAAAAGAAAACAACGAACAAAAUGUCAGACGAAAAUAAAAGUUUUUGUCGUUUAUAUUUGCAAGUCGAUCAGAAGAAUUAGAAAUAAUAGUCGUCAAGACAAAAGACGUCGAAAUGGAAUAGUCUGCGGGAUACAAGUCCGAGAAAUCAUUAGUCGACAAUUUCGAAAAAUUCAGGCGUAUUCAAAAAUUUAACGAUUGCCCAGUCAUUCUUCCAAUUAGUGGAAUUGGAGUUGUGAUUAAAUUAUUUUUGAUCGAUAAAAUGUUGGGUAGUUGCUAGGAUGGAUUCAUAUUUAGAAACGACAAAAAAAAUUGAAGGAUGUUUUUUAUCCUAAGGAUAAAUUAAUCGAGCAUUCGUUGAGCAUUUUCAAUAUACCAAAAUGGCAGAGUUUUUUAAACUUUCACUUGCAUAGAUAAUGUAUAUUUUUCUAAGCCCAAUACAUUGGACUAAUUGAAUUGCAAAUUGAAUUAAACAUUCUUCAUGAAAUAACUUGUCAUUCUCUAUAUAGUAAGAAAUGAAUGAAAGACUGAAAUGUACAAUAAAUAGGAAUAAUCAUAGCAACAUAUAAUUUACUCCUAAUAUAAAAUUAGACAAUAGAUACUUCUUAUUAAGAGAAAUCCUUUUUAGUUUCUGUUAUUAUCUGUAAUACAUUCCAAUUAUAAAGUGAUUGUUCAUCGCCUUUGUACAAAGCAAACUCAGUUGGCAUGUAUUUACCGAUCCUUUAUUCGGUUAAAAUUUAACCCGAAUUAUAAAAUAUCAUUGCGUAUGAAAAUGAUGCUCUCAUAGACUAGAAUAAAAGAUAAUGAUUAAUAAAAAAAUUUGUUCAUUAUCAUAUUCCAUAUCAUUAGAAUAUAUUUUACCGUAGCAAAAAGAUCAUGGGAUAGUACAAUCAUUCUUUUAACAGAAAGAUUACAUGGCAUCAUGCUCUUCAUUAUCAAGAAUAGUAACAUUUUUUGUGUUUUCAAUGAUAAUAAAUAAAAGGGAAUUUGGCAUCUGUAAAGAUUAAUUCAUCAGUAAUAUCCGAUUGAAUUAAUGAUCUAAUUAAAAUAUGCUUUGCAUAAUACCAACAAUUUUAUAUAUAUUUCGGUGUGAUGAUCUAUUAAUUUUUGUCCAAGGUAAUGAUAAACAUAUAUUACAAACAUAGAUCCAAAGAUAUAAUUAGCCUUUUGUAAUAUGUCGCUCAUAUUAACCGUAAAAGAAAGUAUUUGAAAUAACUAAAAAAAAUAGUCCGUGAACAUUCAAUAUCACAAUAAAAGAUAUAUUAAAAUCAGAAUAAUUUCUUCUUUCUUUUCACUUUUUUUUAAAACGAAAAAUAACGUUACUUACGUAAAUAUAAUUUAUGAUAAUAAAUAAUACCAUGAAAAAUAUCUCGGUCAUAUAAAUUCUCUCAUGAAACUGCUUUAUUAAAUCAACGAAACUUGAAGAACGAAAAGAAAUACAAACAAAACAAAAAAUAAAGAAAAAAGAUAUAUAAUAAUAUUAUUCAAAAUUAUUAUCUGAGCGGAUAAAUAGUAUUAAGUACAAUUUUGUAAAAUUAUAUACGAACUAAAUGGCAUUAUCAUAGUAUUCUAUGAUGUCGAUGAUCGACUUAUAUUCUUUGUCAUAAUUGCCUGCAUGAUAGAAAUUAUGCGAAUUCUUUUUAUAUUCUUCCUCUAUCUUCCAUCUGCAUGAAAAAAAUACAAUGUAAGUUAUAAUAUAAAAGAAAAGAAAUCUUUAUGAUCGAAAAAUAUUUUCUAUUGUUUAUCAAAAGAUAUUUAUAUACAUUUCAUAAUAUAUCGUCCGAAAGGAUUACUUACGCAACGAUAUUGAACAGAGCGCAGGCAUGCUGGACAAAUGAUACAAAUAUGGAAAAGUGUGUUAUUCCUAUCGUACUUAAGACCAUUAGGAUUGCAUAUUCGUUAAACAGAGCGAAAUAGUAAUGCACUUGAUCUUGCAAAAAGUACUGAAUAGAAACUGGUAAUACUAAUUCAGUUACAUCCAGUCCACCAAAAAUAUUCGAAAUAACACGUAUCAUGGAUGGAAACAUUAAAAUCACAAUAUACAAAUAAAAGGCAACUGAAAUAAUAAAACGUUAUCUUAAUUUAAUUCUGAUAAUCUUAUAUAGUCACUUCAGUAAUGUAGUUUAUCAUUAUUUUCGUGUUUUUUUACUUGCUAUUAUUAUUGUACAUUGUCUGCUACGAUUAGAAUAAUUUUUUAAUAUCAUUAAUUCAGGCUUGGAUGUCAUACUAUUCCAAUCGGUUUUUAUACGAAGCAGAAGUUUCUUUAUCUGAAAGUAUUAAUAUAUAUUCUAUUCUUGUUUGUUUAACAAUUUAUGAUUUAAAUGAAAUAUUUAUAAAAUACAAACGACUGUAACUUUCGACAAUAAAUUGUAAUAACACAAUGUGAAGCUUAGAGAAGGCAAAGUCGUUUCCAAUAUUUUCAUAAUAGGAUCUACUUUCAUCUCUGAUGUGAAAAGCAGAAAAAGCUGAAGCAUAAGCAGAUGUUAUUUAUAUUUUAAUAAUCAGUGUUGUAAACUGAACUUAUUUUCAAGUUAACUCGUUCUUAUCACAUGUUAGUAUAAUUAUGUAUCAGAAUGAGAUUUACAUGUAAAGAUGAUGAUACUGCUAUUAUAAAAUUGAAUAAACAAACGUGAAUCAUAUUACACGACGAUGUUUCAUAAGGCGAAAUGCCAACUAAUUUUAAGAAUCGAAUAUUGUAAUUAUAGUACUCGUUUUCCAAAUACAGCUCGUCUUGCACAAUCAUCCUAAUAACUCCUAUGACUUAUUGACUUCGACUGAAUUCAUCCCUACGCCGUUUUUUACAUCAAGAAUUCUAAGUACCCUUUUAAAUAUAUGUUUUAAAUGAUAAAGUAGUAAUAGUACUUUUCUCUAAAUUGUAUCGACUGGUAGAAAGUUUUUCUUUCAUAAAAAAAAUUCAUAUAAUGUCUAUAGCUUGUUAUACGUUUCUCUCAUUUUAAUCCAAUUAUACGUGUAUAACUAAACAGAUGUUUCUUUCUAGCUAUUAAGUUAUUAUUUGUCAUUUGCUCCUUACAUGGUCGAUAAUUUUUUCCCUUCCACGAUAGACAUGCGCAUUGCGUCCACAGGCACUUCCCCUUUUCAUUCUCUUGCAGUAUGAUUUUACUUCUCGAAGGAAAGACAUCUGAGUGCUUGAUGUGUUACCAUAAUAUUAUUCUUAUUUACUUAUUGUUAAUUGAGUAUAUAAUAAAUGAUUCCUCGUGAACGUGGCAAUUAUAGACUUCUUAAUAUCAAGUAAUAUUGCUAAUAUUAACGACGGCAUUAUAAUCGGUACAAGUAGAAUAACGAAAGAAUUUGUUUACACGUAACCUCUGCAGCGAAAUGUCAAUCUCAGGACAAAACUCCAACAUUACGGAUGUACAAUAAACAGGCGUAACAGCUAGCAGGAAUACAUUUUACAUAAUUAAAAUCGAUCGUGAUUUUGUAAUUGUUCGAAUAUAAAGAUAAAGAUAAAAGAAAAAAAAAGAAAAAAAAAAAUAUCAAAGACAUCAUGAGAUUAGAAAAUCUAUGAAAUAUAAUACAAAUUUUUCGAUUAUAAUCUACAACGUGGAUCCUUACGUUGAUUUAAUAAAAUUGUCAAUUUAAUUAUCGAGAUAAAAUGAAGGUAUACGUGUGAAAAAGAUAAAAAAAGAAAAAUACAGUUCAGAACGAUCAAAAUCAACGAUUAAAAUGAAAAUAUAUAAAGAAGAUCUCUACGUUUAUGUAUAACGUUUAUGUUUUUAAAUCGAUUUAAUUUCUAUUUUGAAAUGAUAGAAGUCCUGUUAAAAACUGACGGAGAAUAAGUGACCGUCAUGGAAAACGAUACGAGAAUUUAUUAACAUCAAAAAAAUAUAUACUUAUCGAUAUGUAAUCGAUCAGUCAGGAACUUCGAUCGGGUUCAGGCAUCAUUUUAAAAAUUUUACCAUAAUCGAAGAAUAUUUACGAUCAAUGGAAGGAAAUCAUUGAUGAAAUUAUUUGUCAUUGAGAAAUUGUUAAGAUGAUAACUCGGCAUUAGUUGCAUUUAUCUUUUGAUACAUUCGAAAAGAAAAGAAAGGGAAUAUUUAAAUGCACCGAGUAUCGACGAUUUGGUAAGUUUCUUCUUUUUUUUUUUUCUUUUUUCUUCUCUCUUUUUUCUUUUUUAAUUCUGAUAUAAUUUCUAUAUUUUAUUUUCUUAUUUUCAUUCAACUCUGAAAUACUUUGUUUUCACUUGUCACUUUGUUUCUAUUGAUUACUUCACUUUAAAUGAUAUUCAUUAUAUAGGAUUAAUUUUUUAGACAAUGAUUUGCCUAAUAAUAAUUUAUUUAUCAUAAGUAUGAUUAAUUUCAUACGAAAGACACGUUUGAUACAGGUUUUACGCAGAUACAGCUUUUAACGCGGUAUAAUAAUCAAUAAAUAAUAGAACAUUCGAAUAUACACUUUAAGUAACGUGUAUACUUAUUCUGAAAAAUUUAUUGGACAGAAAUCGAGAUCGAGACAAAAGGGAUCGAUACAUCAUCUUGCAAUGAAUGAAAUGAAUUUAGCGUUCAAAUUUAAAUAUAUCCAAUAUAAUUGAUGAUCCAUUUCUUUCUGUUUUUUUUUUUUUUUUUUUUUUUUUUUUUUAUAACUUCAAUACAUCGUAAAGUUAAUCAACAUGGAGAGAAAUAUAUUUGUAAAAAUUAUAUACCUAUGUAGAAAUUAUAAUAUUAUAAUAUUAUUAUUUAUUAACAACAAUAUAAUAUUAUUAUUUAUUUAUUAAAAACAAUUUACGGACCGACUUCUUUUUCUUUCUUUUUUUUUUUCUUUUUUUUUUUUAAUCUUUAUAUUCAUUCAAAUGAUUACUACGAUCACGAUCGAUUCUGAUUGUCUAAAAUAAAAUCAUACAUACUGGUUAAUACGUAUAAUUUUCAAAAGUUGAAUACUGUAAAUAAAAAAUAAUAUUGCAUUUCGAUAUCGUGUUUAGGAAUUUAAAAAAAUAUUAUAUCAAUAUUCAUUAUUAUUAAUAUUAUAUUAAUUAUGUUAUAUUAAAAAUUAUAUUAAUAUUAUUAAUAUAUUCGUUGUUUGGAAUUAAAAGAGAGAGAAAAAAAAUGAAGUUUGAUGAAAACUAUUGAAAUUGCUAUAGUUUCUUAAAUUCAUAUAAAUAUUAUUUAU